rnacentral:misc_RNA from 1 species
GGAAGUAAAGUCGCAACAAGGUUUCCGUAGGUGAACCUGCGGAAGGAUCAUUAUUGUAUAACCGAGGUGCGAGGGCCGUCGCUGACCCGAAAGGUCGUGCACGCCCGAGUGCCCUCACACACAUCCAUCUCACCCCUAUGUGCACCACCGCGUGGGUCCCCCUUUGGCUUGUUCGGAGGGGGGCUUACGUUUUCACACAAACUUUGUAUGCAGUGUAGAAUGUAUUUUUUGUUUUUGCGAUCACGCAAUCAGUACAACUUUCAACAACGGAUCUCUUGGCUCUC